UCCAGGAACAGGGUUGAGCAGAUCUGCUUUUCUUCCAAGAGCAGUUCCUACUGCUGCUGUGCCUGGAUGUCAAAGGUUGACGUGUCUUCAGCUUGGGCAAAUGACAUGCAUGUCAGGCUAUUUAUGAAAGGAUAAGAGAUGCACUGUACUUGGCUACUGUGAAACACCUGUUAGUAAAAGCAUUCGGAGAAAUUGCCAAGACAUGCGGAUCCAAGGUUUACAUCUGGUUUGGCGUCGGUAAGUGGACGUGUCGCAGUCCCUCUUAAUCCCGGACCCGAACAACAGGCCUCAGGAGAGGACCGGUCUUAUUCUCCAAGGCUUCUGUUUGCUCGGUUUUUACUAAGGCUCUCCGUUGCUGAUCUCCAUGACGACUACCGAGGUCUCCAGGGUCAAACUUCCAAUUUUUAUUGAUGAUUCAUUUUCUUUGAUUUCUAUACAAUAUGGAUAGGUCAGGGUAUUCUUUUUGCUGAAUGUCAAGACUCCUGAGUGCAGAAUAAUUGAUAAGUG